CAAUUUUCUUCAAUUGUUCCUGCACACUUCAUUCCCUAUAAAUGACUCCUUCAAAAUCACAUGAUCAGAUACUACAACCAAACAUAGAUUGAACACACUAACAUUUUGUACUAUAAAGUAUAAGCAAGCUUCUUCUUUAUUAUUUCUCAUCAUGGCUCUUGCUGCUGGUAGUUUCAUCCAUAUGCCAACAAUGCUUCCAACGCCCAAUUACAACUCUUCCUCUAAAAAAUCUAUGACAAUUACCAUAAUAUGUGAAAAAAAGAGAGUUAAAGCACAACAUGGUCAAGGAAACCGAAGUGGAGGGUUGGGGCCUGGCCCACACACGAAUAGUAUAACUAGAAAUCUUCAACUUGACAACAUUAAUGCCACCAACCCAAUAAGCCUCAAUGAAGAGGACCAUAGAAGAAGUCCUACAAGGACUGCCAACAAAUAGCCUAAAUUUUAUUCUAUUAAAUUUAUAUAUUUAUUAAAUAGUGUAAUUAUAUAUAUUAACUACACAAAAUGUAUAUAUUAAUGCUCCAAAAAAUUACACAAAAUGUGUAAUAACAUCAACACCAUAGAGAUUUUUUAAUCAAAUGUGAAAUUAAAUUGUGGAAGUAUCACUGGAAUAGAAAGAAUUUUUAUUAUUGUUUUCUUGUACGACCAAUUCAUAAGGCUUAAUUUUUGAGAUAGGUGAGUGGUCAUGGCACUUGCAUGAGUUCAACCAUAUCGCAUCACAAGAUUUUUUAAAUUAAUUAUUUUAAAUUUUAAAACUACAAUUUAUGUUAGUUUAGUGUUCAUUAUUAUCAUUUGUUACUUAUUUAUUUUUGUCCUUCAAUUUUCAAUAUCUUUUAUCUAUUUACUUAUUUUAUGAUUUUUAGAGACAAAAUUUAAAUUAAUUAGUUUAACUUUUCAAGAAACUAUAUUUUUCUACAACAAUUAUUUUCAUAUUCUAACUUUUGUUUUGUUAAAAUUUUCAUAUUUUAUCUAUAUCCUUAUAUAUGUGUGUCCGUGUGAGAGGGAGGGAGUGUGUCACUACAAGAAAAUAGACAUAUACCUACAUAUUUUAUCUAUAUCCUUAUAUAUGUCUGUCCGGGUAAUUUUGCCUAUCCCUACAGUUUUUAUACGUUUACCUAUAGAUUUUCACUGUCGCUAAACGUUCAAUUUCUUGUAGUGUGUUAGGUAUUUUUUGUGUCGCAUGUUUAACCAUAUUAAUGUUAUUUUAUAAAUAUAAAUUUAUUUUCUAAUAUCAUUUAUUUUUUAUUUUCUCUUAUAUCAUACUAUUAAAAAACCAUAUUAUUAUUUAUAAGUCGUAGUUCAACUAACUAAACUUAAAUUCAAACUAAAAUUUAGAAUUUCGCAAUUACGUGUAAAUUUAUAGUGAUAUUUAUCACAUAUUUUGUUGACAAAAUAAAUAACCAUAUUAUUUUCUAUACAAUUUUUCGUUUUCAUCUUUCAUUCAUAUACCAAAGAAAAUGAAAAGAAUGGAAGGAACAAGUUUGUCCAAUUUAUUUAAUUUUAUAAAUUAAAAUUAUUUUUGUGAAUAAUUAAAUUAGUAUCAAUAUAUUCUGCCAUUCUUCUACCAACCAAGUCAACAGUUUAACUCUUUAGGAAAGAGAAGGAAUGAGUUCAAAGUCUACAUUCCAAUUUGAUCAAUUCAUGGGGUCAACUUUCCCAUGUAAAAAUGUUUUAUCAAAUUUCAUUGUAUAAUAUUUAAAUUUGUUUAUUUCAGUUUUAUAAUAUUUGUAUUAUUUGAACCAAUCAACAUGUCAAUUUUAACUACCAAGUUGUACAUAUGCUUUUUUUUAAUGAAGUGACACUAGCAAAUUACAAAAUAAAGUGCAAUUUGCAAUAAUAAUAUAAAGAAAAAAGUUGACCACGGACCCAUAGAAAUAGAGACAAGGGCAACAUUUAAAAUUUCAAACAUACAUUUUACAAUUUUCUUCAAUUGUUCCUAUACACUUCAUUCCCUAUAAAUCAAACCUUCAAAUAACACCACAUACUGCAACAAAAUAGAGCACACACUAUUAUUUUCUACUAUUAUUUUUAAAAAAGUGGAAAAUCAAGUUUGAUUAAAAAGGACUCUAAUUUCUCAUCAUGGCUCUGGCUGCUGGUAGUUUCAUCCAUAUGCUUCCAACAAUUCUUCCAACGCCCAAUUAUAAGUCUUUCCCAAAAAAAUCUAUGACAGUUACCAUUCACUUAGCUUCCACGUGAGAUUGAAGAUCUAACCAAGUGUUUUCUUUAACUAAAGUGAUAAAAUAAAAGCGGAGAAAGAACCGAAGAUUAAUUAGAUUGAGAAGAUGGAUGAAAAUGCACCACAACCAAUGAUGAUUGAUAAGCCAAUGAGACAAUGAGAAAUCACCACAAUGUUAAGGAAGUCAUUCAUAAGAUUCAAGCAAAUUAUAAUCCAAGAACUCAAAGAGGAAACAUAGCAAACUCAACAUUCUGUUUGAGAGAAAACUCUAAUUCAUUUCAAACUUUCUCAAAUAAGAUUACAAAUGUCUAUUUAUAGCUACAAUAUCAUUAUGAGUGAAUUCCAAUGAUGAUUAAUGUUCAGAUAGACAUCCAAUUUACAUUAUUUUUUCACAAACAAAUGAUUGCAGUCAUAAUUUAAUAAUAGGCAACUACUUUGUUAUUUCCAAUUUUUGUAUGUAUAACAAUAAUUUCAAGCACAGUGACUUUUGAAAUUGGAUUAGAUUUCACAGUGUAAUUUAGGUUAUUCAACAUUUGUUCAUAUCAAUCAACCACAUGCAUCAUAUAUGAGUGUUGUAGUUAUAAGUUUUUU